UCAUGGCAAGCGUUGUCCGGCCUGAGCUUGCUCCUGGCUCAUGGCAAGCGUUGUCCGGCCUGAGCUUGAUCCUGGCUCAGGACGAACGCUGGCGGUAUGCCUAAUACAUGCAAGUCGAACGCUGAAGCACUCUGCUUGCAGAGUGCGGAUGAGUGGCGAACGGGUGAGUAACACGUGGGUAACCUGCCCAUAAGAGGGGGAUAACAUCCGGAAACGGGUGCUAAUACCGCAUAGGUGAACGGAGCGCAUGCUCUGUUCAUUAAAGGUGGCCUUGCGCUACCGCUUAUGGAUGGACCCGCGGCGUAUUAGCUAGUUGGUGAGGUAAUGGCUCACCAAGGCGAUGAUACGUAGCCGACCUGAGAGGGUGAUCGGCCACACUGGGACUGAGACACGGCCCAGACUCCUACGGGAGGCAGCAGUAGGGAAUCUUCCACAAUGGGCGAAAGCCUGAUGGAGCAAUACCGCGUGAGUGAAGAAGGUCUUCGGAUCGUAAAGCUCUGUUGUUAGAGAAGAACACGCAGAACAGUAACUGGUUUUGCGCUGACGGUAUCUAACCAGAAAGUCACGGCUAACUACGUGCCAGCAGCCGCUGU
rnacentral:rRNA from 1 species